CCUUCGGUAGCUCAGUUGGUAGAGCGGAGGACUGUAGAUCCUUAGGUCGCUGGUUCGAAUCCGGCUCGAAGGA
rnacentral:tRNA from 3 species